GCCGAAGUGGUGAAAUUGGUAGACACGCAUGGUUCAGGGCCAUGUGGGCAUAGCCUGUGUGGGUUCGAGUCCCGUCUUCGGCA
rnacentral:tRNA from 1 species